AGGCAAAAUCGGGCUGGUCCGGAAUCGUGUGAAUCUCCACCGUUUCGGGAAUCGGUUGCCC
rnacentral:sRNA from 1 species